CCUAGAUCGUUGCUUGCUCACCUGGGCCUAGUUCCCUACUGCUGAAGCCUUUAACCCGUGCCCUAGCAGUGAGCCAGGUUUUCAGCUGUGUCAAUUGGAAAUUCUUCGACCUUGGAUUUAAAAGUGAUACAUCCAGAUUUUUAGGAAUUUGACGCGAGACGAGUAUCUCGGAGUCGGAAUUGGACCUUUCUUUUGUCGGAGG